AUUGAACGCUGGCGGCAUGCCUAACACAUGCAAGUCGAACGGAGAUAGGGGCAACCUUAUUUCAGUGGCGGACGGGUGAGGAAUGCGUCGGAAUCUGCCCUAUGGUGGGGGAUAACACAGGGAAACUUGUGCUAAUACCGCAUAAUGUCGAGAGACCAAAGCAGGGGACCGCAAGGCCUUGCGCGAUAGGAUGAGCCGACGCCCGAUUAGCUUGUUGGUAGGGUAAUGGCCUACCAAGGCGACGAUCGGUAGCUGGUCUGAGAGGACGACCAGCCACACUGGAACUGAGACACGGUCCAGACUCCUACGGGAGGCAGCAGUGGGGAAUUUUGGACAAUGGGCGAAAGCCUGAUCCAGCCAUACCGCGUGAGUGAAGAAGGCCUCGGUUG
rnacentral:rRNA from 1 species